rnacentral:misc_RNA from 1 species
GGCCCAGAAAUGCCAGCGACAGCGAGCUCUUAUCCGCAAACAAAAUCACAGUCUCACUCCUUCCUAGCUGCUUGUCAACGACCCAAGGCCAUAACCCUCUAAACAUUUCCUCAUCUCAUUACUUCAUUCUUAGCCUCUAGCUUAGAUGGCCGCUCCCUUCUCUUCAACGACACCGCUCAGGUCCAUCUUCCAAUCCAAGCCUAGCCCUCCCAAAACCCUCCUUUCUCUUCCAGUUUCAUCUUAUAGAGCACAGCGCAAUGAUAACAACAGUUCCCACAUUGCCAGUGUGAGUUUGUGGAGCUCUGCUUCUAACUACGCCGCUGCCACCAAACUUUACGCCAACCCCAUUACUGUAAAGCAGUUGUUGCAGAAGAGAAAAGGAGUAAUAAGGUGCGCGACCAUUGAAGAAAUCGAAGCAGAGAAGUCCUCCAUUGAGAAGGAU